UACGUAGGGGGCUAGCGUUGUUCGGAAUUACUGGGCGUAAAGCGCACGUAGGCGGAUAUUUAAGUCAGGGGUGAAAUCCCAGAGCUCAACUCUGGAACUGCCUUUGAUACUGGGUAUCUUGAGUAUGGAAGAGGUAAGUGGAAUUGCGAGUGUAGAGGUGAAAUUCGAUAGAUAUUCGCAGGAACACCAGUGGCGAAGGCGGCUUACUGGUCCAUAACUGAACGCUG
rnacentral:rRNA from 1 species